GUACACGCUGUGACUAGCAUAUCAAUAAGCGGAGGAAAAGAAACUAACAAGGAUUCCCCUAGUAACGGCGAGUGAAGCGGGAAGAGCUCAAAUUUGAAAUCAUAAAGGGUUUCCCUUUACGAAUUGUAGUUUAAAGAAGUGUUUUCUGUUGAGGUUUUGGUAAAAGUUCUUUGGAAUAGGACAUCAUAGAGGGUGAGAAUCCCGUAUUUGACCUUUACUUUCAACUUUGUGAUACACUUUCAAAGAGUCGGAUUGUUUGGGAAUGCAGUCCAAAAUGGGUAGUAAAUUUCAUCUAAAGCUAAAUAUUGGCGAGAGACCGAUAGCGAACAAGUACCGUGAGGGAAAGAUGAAAAGAACUUUGAAAAGAGAGUUAAACAGUACGUGAAAUUGUCAAAAGGGAAGCGUUUGACACCAGUGUUGUUUUUCUGAAAAUCAAUUAAAGAACUGUUUAUGCUAAGUUGUUUAGACUUUAUCAGCUAACUGUUUAGUUUUGAGGCCUUUUCUUUAAUGCACUUUUCAGUUAACAAGUCAACAUCAAUUUCUUUUGCUGUAAAAAAGCUUGAGGAAGGUGGCUUGAGAUUCGUCUUAAGUGUUUAUAGCCUCUUGCCUAUGCAGUCGGAGAGAUUGAGGUCUGCAGCGUAGAUCCUUCGGGGCUAAAUGCAUUUGUGCUAAGUUAUAGCAUUUUAUAGACAACUUGUUGACUAUGAUUUGUCUUGUAGCUUACUCGCUUAUGUUAUUUUACCUACGCUUAGGAUGUUGAACUACUGAGACAUAGA
rnacentral:rRNA from 1 species